GGCCUUGUAGCUUAACUGGUAAGAGCGCCCGCCUGAAGAGCGGGAUAUCCGGUUCGACACCCGGCGAGGCCACCA
rnacentral:tRNA from 1 species